UCUGGAGUCAAUAUGUUAGGAUAUGCAUAUUUCAUUUGUGCUUUGCAGUCUUUGAAUUGUUUGGGAGAAUCUGACAUAUUAAACUUAUGAUUUUAAUUAAAAUACUUAGGGUUUAAUGACUUAAGUUUGUAAUUACUGUUCAAAUAUUUGAAAAAAAAUCUAAUGUAUUAAAUCUGAAAAUUUAGACCUCGUAAGGAUUAUUUAGCUGCUCAGUGAAAUUUUAAGGGUUAAAUUCGGAAAUCUCACUGGCUGGCAUUUAAAGGAUCAACAGAAAAGCAGUAUUUCUUUUUACAUUAAUGCAAACCUGUUAAGAUUUACAAGUGAAAUGAGAUUUGUAAAUUAAACUUAGAGGUUUUAAAAUGGUGUUUGGAAAAGUACAACUGGGUAUGGAUAUACUGGGUCUCUCAUGAAGCUGGAGUCAGUGUUAAUAUUCUGGUACCUGGGCACACACAAACAGAAGCUCAGGCUUUGAAAAUCACAAGUCAAGUGAUAUUUGUGGAACAGGUGUGGUGUUGUGGUCUCAGAGGGGACAAGAAAACAAGACUAUUUGUGUAAAACUAGAAGAAGGAAAGGGACAUAGCAGGCACGAUGAAUCCAUCCUUAAGUUUGAAUGAAAAGGCCAAAGGGAGCCCACACAUAUAUUGUGUUGUGGGAGCCUCCACUGCACCAUCACUGGGAUGAAUCCAAGGGGCCUUUUUCUGCUGUGAUUCAGAUACUAGAAUUGAGAGCAUGUGGCAUACAUUUUAGCAACGAGGCAAGUUAUGAAUUAUUUUGGAAGAACUAGCUGAAGGAACAAGAUGACAGUUGCUGGUGGGGUUUAGCAGAAAUACCCUCAAGCAAGCCAAGGAGAAAGACUCUUUAGAUAUUAUUUAAAAGUGCGAUAGCGACAACAGGGUUUAAGGAGAGGCUGGCUCCUGGGUUAUAAGGCAGGUGAGCUUGUCUUGCGGGAAGGGGAGAGGUGAAUCCAGACGUGACGAGAUGCCUGAGGCCUGGGUUGGUUUCCCUGGCCCAGAGCCACCAGCCAUAAUAGGAACCUGGGAGCCCUGCAGACAUGAGGUGUCACAUUGAAAUGCUCAGGUGGGGCAAACAGGGACAUAAGAGCAUCGAUUUGAAAUAACCAACGCACAAACAAAACACACGAGUCUCAAGUUAAAAAUAACAGGCAGGUGAGGAUCAAAAAGGCAAAGAGAUCAGCGUCAAGUGAAACAUACUCUCCCGGCAUUUUAAAACACACAUAAGAAUCCACAAAAUAUGAGCAUGUCAUUUAAGCAUGGAAAAAUGAGUAAGAGGGAGCACAAAGGAAAGAAAGAAAAUUAAGCUGUAAGGAGGAAAAAGAGGCAAGUAAUAAUGGGAAACAUAAAUGGGGAUUGGGGAUAAUGAUCUGCUGGCAAAAGAAGAAAUACCCGUUUUAAAACAAUAAAGGUUUUUCAGGUGGAAUGAGGUUAACAGUUGAAAUGAAGGCAGCAGUCAAAAGAAGGUCAUGAAUUAAGUGGACUAGACUGAGCCAGUUGUUUCCUUGCAAGUCCAGGUCUGAGCAAAGGAAAAACAGUGGGGAAAAAUCAUUUGGUUAAAAAAUAAUAAUCAAGGAUAGGCAAAAGAGUCUGGUCAGCACUGUGUAGAUAGGAAGAAAGCAGGCCACAGGUAAAUGUGGGGAAGUGAUGGAUGAAGGAUAAAGGCAGUGGAGCUGUAUCUUCUUACAUCAGCAGAUGUCAACCCUGGCUGCACUCUGGAAUUACCUGGGCAGUUCAAAAACAUACCUAUGCCCCUCUUGAGACAAGUGAGCUGGCAUGUCUGGGGGCUGGGGCCCAAGCACAACAUUUCUUCUGCUCCAGUGAGCAGCCAGGGUGGAGACCCACUGCUUUGCCCAUCCAGAGUAACAGUGUGAGGUCCCCUGUGUUGAGGUUAGCAGGCCCAAACAGGCACUUGCACCUGAAGCUCUCCAAUAACUGUGGUCAAAGUCAUUUUCUUAUUUUAACUUGGCAGAUAAGUUACUUGAUUUUCCAUUUGACACUAAGAGCUUUAAAAUUCAGAAAGGAGAAAGUUUUCUCACUUAAUUAUUGUAAAUAUUUGUAACCAUCUCUAAAUAGAAAUCCAAUGUAGUAGUGCUCUUCACACUGAUAUCAAUUCACCUAGCCACAAAAUAAAAACUAGCUACACUGAGAAAUGAAAUGUCUUAUUUAGAUCAUAAAAUAUCUGUGGAUUCUUUUUCUAAAGUAAAUUAUAGUUGAUUUACAAUGUUGUUUUAGUGUCUGGUGUACAGCAAAGUGAUUUCAUUUUAUAGAUAUAUAUAUAUAGUAAAAUGAAGUCGCUCAGUUGUGUCUGACUCUUUGCGACCCCACAGAUUGCAGCUUACCGGGCUCCUCCAUCCAUGGGAUUUUCCAGGCAAGAGUACUGGAGUGGGUUGCCAUUUCCUUCUCCAGAGGAUCUUCCCGAGCCAGGGAUCGAACCCAGAUCUCCCACAUUGUAGGCAGAUGCUUUACUGUCUGAGCCGCCUGGGAAGUCAUAUAUAUAUUCAUAUAUAUAUAUAUAUAUAUAUAUAUAUAUAUAUAUAUAUAUAAAAUUACAUAUGUAUGUACUAUAUAUUUUUAUAUAUGUAAUAUAUAUAUAUACAUAUUUCUUCCAUUACAGUUUAUUACAUGAAAUUGAACAGUUCCCUGUGCCAUACAGUAGGACUUUGUUGUUUAUCUAUUUUGUAUAUAGUGGUGUGCAUCUGCUAAUCUCAAACUCCUCAUUUAUCCGUCCCCUACCCUCUACACCGUUGGCAACCAUAAGUUGGUUCUCUAUGUCUGUGAGUCUGUUUCUGUUUUGUAAAGAAGUUCAUCUGUGUCACAUUUCCCAUACCACACGUAAGUGAUAUCAUAUGGCAUUUGUCUUUCGCUCUCUGACUGACUUCAUUUGGUAUGACAAUCUCUAGGUCCACCCAUGAUGAUGCAAAUGGCAUUAUUUCAUUCUUUUUACAGCUGAGUAAUAUUCCAUUGCAUAUACGUACCACAUCUUUAUCCAUUCACCUGUCAAUGGACACGUAGGUUGCUCCCUUGUUGUGGCUAUUGUCAAUAGUGCUACAACAAACGUUGGGAUUGUAGAUGUAUCUUUCUGAAUUAGGAUUUUCUCUGGAUAUAUGCCCAGGAGAGGGAUUGCUGGAUCAUACAGCAACUCUAGUUUUAGUUUUUAAGAUACCUAGAUUAUUUUUCUUUCAUUUCUGCCUUACAUCAGUGGUUCUCAACUAGGGGCAGUUUUGUCCCCUCAGAGGACACUGGGCAAUGUCUCAGACAUUUUUUGAUUGUCAUAACUGGGGACAUGCUACUGGCAACUAGUGACGAGAGUCCAGGGAUGCUGCUAACAGCUUAAAAUGCACAGGACAGCGCUGGCAGCCUCAAAGAACAAUUCAGCUCAAAAUAUCAACGGUGCCAAGGCUGAGAAACCCUGCUCCAAACAAUAAAGUUAAUGUUUCCACCAAUAAUAACUAAUAUACACUGCCUUCCAAUCUCAACACAAAUGAAACAAUUUUCAACAUGCACAAAUUAUAUGCCAAAAUAAAGACAAACAAGAAAACCUCCCACAGAACAUUAAACCACUAAUAAAAUCAUUUUGUGGGUUUACCACACAGUUAAAGAUGGAGGACUAGAGAAUCAGUAUGCUGAAAUGAAAACUGGGUUUCAAAUUGAAUUUGACUGUUGGAGUUUACAUUCAAACUAGCUGAAAGUCCUUUAAAUGAAGACUUCUAAACAGCACACUUUAUUAUCAAUAUUUAACAAAUGGUGCCUGAAAUAAUAUAUCCACAUUGAACAUUACAUUUUAAACUCCUCACAUCAUAUAUUUGUAGAAAAAAAUGAAGUUUUUUAAAGCCAUACACUUAUAUUUAUUUCUACCAGACCACUUAGUAAAUGUACUCAUUUUAUAGAAAUAAAAGUGAAUCUGAGAUAGUAAGAUGAUUUUCAGGACUGCAAAGCAAGUAGAUAUUGAGAAGUAAUACGACUCCAAAUAUGGACAGUGGGUGUGGCUAGAGGUGAAGAAAAAGUCUUACCUGGCUUGAAGACUAAUCAAGCCAGGUAACUAAUCAGUUAUCUCCAGUCCCUGAUCUGUGGUAACAAUAAUUCUAAAAUGUGAAACAAAGACUAUUUUAGAGGAAGAUUUACAAAUUAUUAAGACUAUUUGUAGUAUGUCAGAAAACACUGAAACACGACUGGGUGUUCUAAAACAAGCAAUUUAAAUAAUUGAUGAAAUCAAGUACUUGGUACACGUGUUCAUGCUCAGUAGAGUCCAACUCUUUGUGACCCCGUGGACUGUAGCCAGCCAGGCUCCUCUGUCCAUGGGAUUCCGGGCAAGAAUACUGGAGUGGGUUGCCAUUUCCUCCUCCAGGGGAUCUUCCCAACCCAGAUAUCAAACCCAAGUCUCCUGCAGCUCCUGCAUUGGCAGGCAAUUACUGUGCUACCUGGGAAGCCCCGAGUACCUGACAGUUAUUCAUUAUUGAGGGUCUAUAAAUGGGAAAUACCAAUCCAUUGGUUGUCAAACUUGGCCCCACAGUCUACUCUGAUCAACUGAAGAUUGGAGGUGCUUUUUUUAAAAUGAUGCCUGGGCUCUUCCCAAGAACAAAUGAACCAGAAUCUCCAGAAGUGAAGAUUCUCCUGACCUUGGGCAUGAUAUUGUACAGCAUAUCUCAAACUUCAACGUGUAUAUAGAUUAUCUAAGGAUCUUACCACAAUGCAAUUCUGAUUAAGUGAGUCUGGAUGUGCCUGAGGUUUUGCAUUUCUUGAUACUAAUAGUUCUGGUCUAAGGGCCACACUCUGGAUACAGAAGUGCAGAAAGUUUUCUGGAUUCUAAUUUGCAGCCAGCAUUGAGAACCAUCAGUGGUUGAGCCCCUAGCUUUGGGCUGGGUGCUAUGUGGGCAUAGAGAUGAAACAGAAAUUUUUUUUAAAAAGCGUUCCUCAAGUAAGGAAUUACUCCAUCCUAAAUUAGAGCUUUCACUGUUAUGCAAUCCACAUACCUUUAUCUUAGCUUCCAGUGUGGGCUAAAACAACCCAGUUACUCCUUUGGAAGGGCAGCCAUUCCAUGUUGAUUUUAUAUCAACACAGGCAACAAUCCUCAGACUUAGCAUUUGCUGUUUUCUGUUCCAGAAUGCUCUGAUUUCAGCAGAGUUCUACAUGGUAG
ensembl:lncRNA